AAUAGUUAUCUUUGUCUUGUUCCUGGCAGAUGGCAUGAUUCUAUUUAUGCCUUGGAAUCGGGUGAAAGUCCCGGACAGUGCUCGCUGCCGUAACCCCAAUUUGAUAAACUGGGUUUCUUGCCACUGGAAUGGUGAUUCUGGGAAGGUUUGAACGCAUAAGCCAGAGGGGAAGUCGGAAUACGGUGACAGGAACGAUGGCUUUUA
rnacentral:ncRNA from 2 species